AGCAACCACUCCAUCCUGCCUCCCCGACACCUCCAACGCGUCGCCGCCUCCUGCAACGCCCCACCCUGCCUCACCACGCGCCGCUCGCCGCCGCCGCCCACCCCGCUGGCGCGCCUACCCCUACCCCGAGUGCCCCCACACCCGCAGCCUUCCACUGCCGGCGACCCGUGGCCUGCCACCGCCGACGACGAGGAACUGCCGGAUCUCGACGAAUCAGGUGAGGAAUGGCGCGUAGGCAGCGAAUCUGGAAGGAAGGCGGCCGGGGCUUGGAGCAUGACGGCUACCGGCGCGCCAUGGCAUUGGGGGGAGGGGGUGUCCCAUGCUCCGACCGUUUGUGUCCGCGCGAGGAGCUCACCCCCAAAUAACUCCUCGGGCGUCCUGCGGGCCCAGGCUGGAGGCGGCAGGCCGCAGCGCGGGGAGCCCGCCGCGAGGGCAGACAGGAACGACGCGCCUGGCGCCGGCGGGGGAUGCGGGAGGGCAGCAGCUCACGGGCGAGGAGGCCCCCGCGACACGCGGGGGGGGGGGGGGGGGGGGGGGGGGGGGGGGGGGGGGGGCUCGAGGCCGGCGCGGGCGGCGGGAGGGGGACUCGACGUACCAGGGCUAUGACGUGCAGUGUCUGGCGAGGUGGGUGGACCACGCGCUGCCCUUCUCCCUGCUCCUCCUCGACGUCUUCAUCCGCCAGCACCUGCAAGGUUUCUUCGUAAUGAUUUGGAUUACCGCAGUCAUGUUCAAGUCAAAUGAUAUCUUGCGCAAGCAGACCGCUCUCAAGGCUACAAGGUUGGGGGAGCGACCCUGCCGUUGUCAUGAUGACUGCUCCUUCUGGCCGGAUCGAGGCACGAAGACCUGUGGGAUCCCCUCCUUCGGCAGGACCUCCUCAUCUGGAGGACUGCCUGUGAUGAGUUAAGGCACAAGAAGAUCUACAACCAUUUUAGCUCCAGCAGUUAGUACACAACCAAUCAACAGUGCAUUUUCACGACCCAGGCUUCUGAAUUCUGACUGACAGGCUCGCAGGCACAGUCACAUAUAAUCUCACGCAUUCAAAAUGCUAGCUACAUGAAAUACGCCCAGAUUUACGAGUAGAAAUCCAAGAUUCCUCCUCUAUGUUCAAUUUUCCUAAUAGGAAGAACCAUACCAACAACCCUUGAACUAGAUUGGUCGAAGCAGCAUACAUACAUAUUCAUGUUUUACAUUUUAAAUUUGAAGACCAAGGCAACUCCCGGUCGAUUUAAUUGGAGGCAUUGCAGUCCAAUUGUUCUAAGGAUUGGAACCAGACGUGUGACUCAAUACUGCUUGGAACAUGUGAGCAAAGUUUACGUACAUGCACCUUCUUGGAUGAUACAACUUCUCUAUGUUUGUACCUCCUCGUCAUUCUUUGCAAACUUUAUGAGUAAAAAGUAAGAAGUAAUGUUCUCUGUCGGUGUCAAAACCGGCGGAUCUCGGGUAGGGGAUCCCGAACUGUGCGUCUAGGCGGAUGGUAACAGGAGGUAGGGGACACAAUGUUUUACCCAGGUUUGGGCCCUCUUGAUGGAGCUAAA